rnacentral:rRNA from 1 species
GACGGAGGGUGCAAGCGUUGUUCGGAUUGACUGGGCGUAAAGGGCGUGUAGGCGGUUGGUCAAGUCUGGUGUGAAAGCCCGGGGCUUAACCCCGGAAGGGCACUGGAAACUAGCCAGCUAGAGCGCGAGAGAGGAGGGUGGAAUUCCUGGUGUAGCGGUGAAAUGCGUAGAUAUCAGGAGGAACACCGGUGGCGAAGGCGGCCCUCUGGCUCGUUGCUGACGCUGAGACGCGAAAGCGUGGGGAGCAAACAGG